rnacentral:lncRNA from 12 species
CAUGGGUUUGAAUUGAGAUCUGUAUGAUACAUCACUAUGUAGCUAUUUGCAAUGAGGCAGAAAGAACCUUCCAAGGGAAGGGAAGGGAAGGGAAGGGAAGGGAAGUUUCAGGGAAGGGAAGGGAAGGGAAGGGAAGUUUCAGGGAAGUUUCAGGGAAGUUUCAGGGAAGUUUCAGGGAAGUUUCAGGGAAGGGAAGGGAAGGGAAGGGAAGGGAAGGAAGGGAUCCACCUCCAGCCCAUGGAGGACCCUGCACUGGAGCAAGCAGAUGUCUGAAGGAGACUGUGACCCCACAGAAAGCCCAC